AAAGAAUUAGUUUAUCUAAAAUUUUAGUCUUCAAAACUAAGGAAGUUGAUUGCUUGACAUUCUUUG
rnacentral:tRNA from 1 species